rnacentral:rRNA from 1 species
UACAGAGGUGGCAAGCGUUGUUCGGAAUUACUGGGCGUAAAGGGCGCGUAGGCGGCCUUCUAAGUCAGACGUGAAAUCCCCCGGCUUAACCUGGGAACUGCGUCUGAUACUGGAAGGCUUGAGUGCGGGAGAGGGAUGUGGAAUUCCAGGUGUAGCGGUGAAAUGCGUAGAUAUCUGGAGGAACACCGGUGGCGAAGGCGGCAUCCUGGACCGACACUGACGCUGAGGAGCGAAAGCGUGGGGAGCAAACAGG